UUUUGUCGGCUCAUGUUGCGGCAGUCUGAGCAGUAGGAAAACAGUCAUCGGUCAGUGACAUUGUUGAAGUGCCCGUCAUUCCUUAUCUGGCUCGCUCGCUUUCCUUCUCUAGGUGCCUGUUGUAGAUAAUCACUGCCAAUAAACUCUGUACCUGUGACUGAAUAGAUCUAAUAAAUGUCAGAAUUGGAAAUCACUCUCGUCCUGUCUUUUUACACGUUCGUGAGAUCAGUUUUCUCUCCCGGCAGCCCCCGCUGCCGCCUCCUCUCCCCGCCUCCGCAUGCCUUUUCCAGUUUUCCCCUUUAGCUCUGUCUCAUUUUCAUCUUGUGCCGUUCUCCUCAUUAGCUCCCACUCCUUUGUGUACUUUCCCCUGCGCGCACCCGUUGAGCGCCGGCGUCGCUCGAGCGGCGUGACUUCUGCUCGGAUCGUUCGCUGUGGCCUGUUUGUUCAGUCUUGUUUGCUUGAUCUGCUUUCUCGUUGUGUGGUAAUAUUUAUUUUUCGUCGGGAUCGCUGCUGUGUUGUGUGUGGCUUAACAGCGCUUUGCAAAAGUAUUCAUAAUCCUCUUUUGCAUUGUGUCAUGUGUUUAAGAGUGAUCUUAUGUGAUAGAUCAACACAAAGGAAAGAAAAUGAUGUGUGGUUUUCAUUUUUUUUUUUUUUCCCCUAAACAAAAAUCUCAAAUUGUGAUCGGCAUUUGAGCCCAACCCCCUUUAUUUUGAUACCCAACAACAGUUACCUAUUUAGUAAAAAGAGUCUAUCUGUUUAUUUUAUGCUCUGAGAGGUUUUUUUCAGAGAACACUGUCGAACAAGCGGCGUCGUAAAGACCAAGGAACACAGCAGGUCAGGGAGGAAGUGGUGGAGACGUUUAAAGCGGAGCUAGAUUGUGAAACGAGAUCCCACGCCUUGAGAAGAAUUUGGCAAAUCCUCCAAAACAUGGCAACCCACCUAAGCUGACGAGGAAAGCAUUAAUCAGACAGUUCUGGUAACUCUGAAUAAACCGCAGAGAUCCACAGCCGAGGUGGGGACAGUCUGUUGAUGGAGCAACUAUUGCAUGCGCAAUCCACAAAUCUGGCCUUUCUGGAAAUGUGGCAAGAAGAAAGAAAAGCUGAAAGUCUCCGCAACCCAUGGAGAGGAAGAAGGUGCUCUGCCCUGGUGGGAUGACAAUUCAGCUUGUUGGUUCCAUGCAAAACAUUAUGUGCAACCGACAAACCAUGCAGGAAAAUAAAGUCUAAGAACAGGCUAGACUUGACCCAUCAUCCUCAUGGUCAUGGUGGUGGCAGCAUCAUGCUUUACUCCAGCAGAGACUGAAGUGAAUCCGCUCAGAGUCGAUGAAUCCCUGGGAGAAAACCUGCGAGAGGCUGCAAAGAAUUUGAGACGGAGGUUCAACAUGGAGCCAGAGCUGCAAUGAAAUGGUUUAGAUCGGGGGUUGCCAAGCUCUAGUCCUCAAAGGCUUGGCCUCUUGCAGCCUUUAGGUCCGUCCCUGAGUCAGCACACCUGAACCCAGAGGCCAAAUGACCUCCUCAGCAUGCAGCCGUCUCCUACAGGGCCCUACAAAUGACAUAAUUAUUAAAUAUAGGUAUGUUGAAGCAGAGGUGUCUGCACGCAGCCGGACUCCGACCGUGGAGGAAUGGAGUUUAGGUCAAAGCAUAUUUAUGUGUUGGAAUGGCCUAGUCAAAGUCCAGACAUGAAAUCUAUUAAGAAUCCCCAAAGCAACUAUAAAUGCACACCACACCUAUAAUAUUUUACUUGUUAAACAUUUUGAAAACCAAGUUAUCUCCCUUUGUGUCGACCUGCCACAUAAACCCUCCAGGCUAUUUGGAAGUUUCCAGUUUUAAGGUGAUGAAAUAUGAAAAAAACUCCAGGACUGUGAAUACUUUUGGGCUCUAUUGUAUAUUCUGGAUCGGAGGAGUUUGUCCUUUUUGUCAACCUUCUGCUUCACUGCUUGCUUGGUUUAUGUGUUGAGAUCAAGAAGGGGAACGAUUUUUCUUUUUUUUUGUUGUCGUCUUCUCCUUGUACUGCUUCAUUUGUGCUUGUUUUUCGAGUUUUUACAGCGAAACGGUUGAUUAUAUCGAAGGCUGCUUCCACAGUAGAUGUGUACAGACACCCAGUUGGGAUCAACGUCUCUUCAUGAGAUCUAAACAAAAAAUAAAAUAAAAAAUGAUGACGAGGAAGGAUGGCACAGUCUCCUCUCUGGUCGCUGAGCGCAUCAGACCGAUUCUUCCCACCACCGGGAGCCAUGCCAAAAUAGAAACACGGCUAUGAUUCAGUAAAGCCACCUCGCUGCUGGAAAACGCGGAAUAGCAACAAGUUUAGCACGCCUCUGCUUUUUCCCACUUUUUGCAGACUUUAUGGAAAUGUUGCAUUUGUAUUCAGGUGGCAAGUCGUGCCGGUCGGGCUUCACGGUAUGUUUUAAAAAUAAAAGACUUGUUCCGAAUGCAUCCAGAGAGAGGGGGGACAGGGACAUUUUCCAAUGCAUCAGUUCCUGCUUAAUUUGUGCAUUACUGACGCCCUCUGCUGUUCUCACGGAAGUGCCCGUCACUUCCACACGUGUGAUGAAACGCUGACGGAAGUACGGCGGAGAUGGAUAGAAGUAUUCGUCGGCGCCAUGCCGCAAGCGUGUGUAAUUAUUAAAAAGCUCCGAAGUGGGCAGCAGCUUCUGCUGCAGUAAAACAAAAAGCAGUGGGGCCUAAAGUGCAAAGGCAUCCUAAGUGUUUCCAGCCUGGCAUGCGGUUUGAUUGCAUUAACUUGGCCUGCAAGGUGCAAAUUAUCCCUCAUUGAAUAGUUAAAAUUAAACUCUGAGGGGGAUCUGGUCUCAAUCCAGGGAGCGGGAGCCGCUCUGUUGGUCGUAUGGAGGACGUCCACAAGGGGGCGACAUUACAUAGUCUAAAGUCCUUCAUAGAGCGCAGAUCUACUCAGAUUUCUGUAUUUUUGUAUCUUAGGCCACUAAGCAGUCGUUUAUCAUCGGCGCAGAUUAACCAUUCAUCCUUUUGCUUACUUUUACAGCUGCGUUUAAGCCACAUAACACGUACACACCGACUGCUGUAAAGUUAUUAAUUCAGCAGAACAUGUAGAAAUAACAAGGUUAUUCCCAUUUACGCGUCAAAGCGUAGGGUGCUAACCCUUGAAUGGUUUAUUAAACUUGAAAAGUGAAUCAUGUUUGUUGAGUUAUAAACAAAACUUUAAUAAUAAUAAUAACCUGUUAGAAGUAGAUGUUUUUUUUGUUUACUUUACUUUAAAAAUCUAUUAAAUUAUAUUAUUCUCUCAAAAACUUUUAUUUUUGUUAUUUAUUACAAAAAUUUCACUAUGAGCUAUAUUCCAAUCAAUAAAAAAGGAAACCAAAGUUGCAAUUUAAAGUAGCCUUUAUUGAGCAAACUUCAGCUUACAAGAAAUAACCUUAAAAAGCCUGAACUUCAAAUGAAUAAUACUCUGAUUGCCUUACGCCCUUAAGAGCCUGGGAUUUAUAAAUGAGUAUUUAUUAGUCCUUAAGGUUCAUCAGUAAAAUUAAAUGCAGUUGAAACUAGGUGAAGCAAAAGUUAUUUGGUCUGUACAUUAACACAUCCUACCUUGGUUUGGAAAAAAACAUUUGUCCACCUAUCCCCCUUUUCUGUCUUUUUUUUAAAUUUAAAAUCAAACCUAUUUUGACAUCAGACAGCAACAAUCUGAGUUAAUUAAAAUGAAUCAUCUAUAAAGUGAAAAUUAUACUUCAUAGAAAAAAAACCAACUAUCCAAACUAACAUUGGUUUGUGUGAAAAGCAGCAAAGUAAACAAAAAAAGAAAAAAAAGCUGUUACUAAAUUACUAAGAGUAUGUAUGUUGCUGAUAAUUGCAGGUGGUAGUAGCGGCUGGCCUCAGCUUCCCUGGUCGGAACCAAGUCACAGGAAAAUUUGGCACAUUUCUGUUAUUGAGUCAUAACUUGGUGCAUCACUUAGACUUGAGGCUUCCUUCUGACCUCUUUCCAAAGCCCAGGCCUUGUUUGAUUCAGCGGUGUGCUUCGAGGCGUAGCGUCACUCCAGUUUUCCUCAGGCCCUUUCAUGGUCCUCCUCCCGUCGUCCCCGGUGACAGAGCUCAGAGCCGACAGGCGGCUGACCCCGGGCCAGCCUCAUUAUCCAUCUGACAGUCGGAGGCAGCGGGCCUCGGUGCAGACUGUUCCUGGGUCUGUUCCAGCCCCGCUGCUGCCAUGAGGGCAGGAGGCACCGGCUGUGUUGAAGGCCCCUGUUGUUUUAACAUGUCCCGCUGCACAGUUUGACGGCCGAAGCAUCGAAAACUUAAAUUUGAACCAUGCCAGAUGAUGACGCGUUGCUGCGCAGAGCAAAACGACACAGAGGGAGGCGUCACUAUGCGGACAGAAGUAAGAUAAACAAGAAUCCUCCAUGUUGUCUCAACUCUCUUAACUCGGAAAAAACACUGCAACUGCAGGAGGGCUUCGCCGCAGGAUGCCAUCCGUGUGGCCAAAAGAGACAGGAAGUAACACCAAAAGCAUAGUUUUAUAUCUAUUGGUUUUGCUGAUUGUUCUCCAGUCCAGAAUAAUCGAUUAUUUCGAAAGUUUAUUCAAAUAUUUACAGCCUGGUGGCAAAAUUACAUUUGCUGAUCAUUGACAUGAAUGGUAUAAUUACCCAAAUCCGUACAUACACCCCCACUAAUACUUGGAUAAAUAUUCUCUGUCAAGCUGUCAUAUAAUUUUUUUUAUUUUUAUUUUUAGAAUUUGAACGUAGAAUACUCUGGAGUUUAGACGCCCCGGAACAUAAAAUAUUAUCUGUAUAAACCAUUUCCUAAAACUGUUUAUCGCUUAGCUGAAAUGAUUUUGAAACCUUAUUAUUCCACUAAUAUAUUUUACAAGAAAACCAUCAGAACUUAGGUCAGAUUAUAUCCUCAGCUACUUUUUUUUUUUUCCCCAAACUGCAACGGAUGUGAGAACCGCCAUCUGUUUUUGUUUGCCUUCCAUUUCGCCAUCAAUAAUUUAUAGCUUAGGACGCACUCACACGUGUCACCCAGCCGCCGAUGCAUCGCUCCCUGUGGAAGAACCCGCCGACGUGAAGGUUAAGACGGCAAAAGCCGUUAAAAAGGAAAGCGAGAACUUUUACUUGUCCCCGAAAAUGCAGCUCGGCCGCAACCCCUUCGUCUUCUUUCACAACUCCUUGAAUUCUCCUGGAAGUUCAGGAAAGGCCACUCAUCCGCUUCGCCUCAUGUCGGCGUUUUUUUGUUUUUUUUGUUUUUGUUUUUCCAGAAAGGGGAAGCGGAGGUCGGCUCGCAGGGUUUGUUUACAGCCAAGCAGAACAUGAAUGAAUAACAGCCUGCAGCUCUGUGGCGAAGUGCUCGGUCCGAGCCCCGUGUUUAGAGUCUGUGGGGCCGCGCAAAACGUCAGGCUCCACCUGUAGGAUGUAGGAGGAUGUUUUCUUUGUCGUUAUCUUUCAUUUUCAUGAGGUCAGUCGGGUGAAAUAGACGUAAAAACGCUGAUUACAAACGUGCCAUAUGACAUCAAAGCGGUGAGUCAUCGCUGCGUCCGUCUUCGUUCAGUUCGCUCCCGGCUUGAGCAAGUCGGAGCAGAGGUACGUGUGCCGUCGCGGCCGCGUCGUGAAAGCGGCCGAUGGCGCAACGAGAUAACAAAGAAACAUAAAAGUAUCAAAGCGCAACGAGAUAACAAAGAAACAUAAAAGUAUCAAAGUGAAGUGAUGAUUAAAGCUAAGAAGACUGGGAGAAGGAGAAGAAGAAGAA